UGAGGAAUAUUGGUCAUUGGGCGAGAGCCUGAACCAGCCAAGUAGCGUGCAGGAUGACGGCCCUAUGGGUUGUAAACUGCUUUUAUAUGGGAAUAAAGUGAGGGACGUGUCCCUUAUUGCAUGUACCAUAUGAAUAAGGACCGGCUAAUUCCGUGCCAGCAGCCGCGGUAAUACGGAAGGUUCGGGCGUUAUCCGGAUUUAUUGGGUUUAAAGGGAGCGUAGGCCGUUUGGUAAGCGUGUUGUGAAAUGUAGGAGCUCAACUUCUAGAUUGCAGCGCGAACUGUCAGACUUGAGUGCGCACAACGUAGGCGGAAUUCAUGGUGUAGCGGUGAAAUGCUUAGAUAUCAUGAAGAACUCCGAUUGCGAAGGCAGCUUACGGGAGCGCAACUGACGCUGAAGCUCGAAGGUGCGGGUAUCGAACAGG
rnacentral:rRNA from 1 species